CGGGUGAGUAACACGUGGAUAACCUACCUAUAAGACUGGGAUAACUUCGGGAAACCGGAGCUAAUACCGGAUAAUAUAUUGAACCGCAUGGUUCAAUAGUGAAAGACGGUUUUGCUGUCACUUAUAGAUGGAUCCGCGCCGCAUUAGCUAGUUGGUAAGGUGACGGCUUACCAAGGCAACGAUGCGUAGCCGACCUGAGAGGGUGAUCGGCCACACUGGAACUGAGACACGGUCCAGACUCCUACGGGAGGCAGCAGCG
rnacentral:rRNA from 1 species